rnacentral:rRNA from 1 species
GACGAACGCUUGCGGCGUGCCUAAGAAAUGCAAGUCGAGCGAGGCUAUCCCGAGCAAUCGGGAGAAACCUAGCGGCGAACGGUCGAGUAACACGUAGGCAACCUGCCCUGAAGCGGGGGAUAGCCCACCGAAAGGUGGAUUAAUACCGCAUGUGGUUAUGUUUGGGCAUCCUUACAUAACUAAAGCAGCAAUGCACUUCAGGAUGGGCUUGCGGCCUAUCAGCUAGUUGGUGAGGUAACGGCCCACCAAGGCGACGACGGGUAGCUGGUCUGAGAGGAUGGUCAGCCGGACUGGGACUUGGACACGGCCCAGACUCCUACGGGGGGCAGCAAUUAGGAAUCUUGCGCAAUGGGCGAAAGCCUGACGCAGCGACGCCGCGUGAGGGAUGACGGCCUUCGGGUUGUAAACCUCUUUUAAGAGGGAAGAAGCAAGUGACGGUACCUCUUGAAUAAGCCCCGGCUAACUACGUGCCAGCAGCCGCCGUAA